rnacentral:tRNA from 5 species
GGGGGUGUAGCUCAACUGGGAGAGCGCUGCCCUUGCAAGGCAGAGGUUAGCGGUUCGAUCCCGCUCAUCUCCA